CGUGUAGGCGGCCUGAUAAGUCAGAUGUGAAAGCCCCGGGCUUAACCUGGGAACUGCAUUUGAUACUAUUGGGCUAGAGUUCGGGAGAGGAAAGUGGAAUUGCUAGUGUAGAGGUGAAAUUCGUAGAUAUUAGCAGGAACACCGGUGGCGAAAGCGGCUUUCUGGAACGUAACUGACGCUGAGGCGCGAAAGCGUGGGGAGCAAACA
rnacentral:rRNA from 1 species